CUAUGCACCACCUCGCCCCGACUCCCGGUGAGGUGGGCGGGGCCCCGGCAGCCCACCUGCAGUGCCCCCUCUGCGGCCACUUCGCCAAGAGCCACGCCCACCAGCUUACCCACAUGGCAGCGGCCCACCCUGCACGUCUGGAAGGCGUGGCCGUCGGUCGCCUAGGCACCUCAUCUCCAGGCACUGUGAGGACCAGAGGGAGGGGCAGGCAGGGGAGACAGAUGCUCCAGGGAGAAAGAGGAGCAUUGAGGAGGAGCUGCCCCCCCCCCCAGAAGGAGCGCGAUGAGAAGGUGCUGAUGUUUGAUGGCUCCGGCUACCGCUGUCUGAUUUGCGGCUGGAUGAGCAAGCUGAAAGCUCUGGGAGUGAACCACGUAGUAAGAAAGCACGACAUCCCCAAAGCCUACGCCUCCCAGGCCAUCAGGCGGGGCGCCUCCGCGCCUCCCCUGCCCACCGAGGAGGAGGGGGUGGGGGCUGGGCUUAGCGGCGAGCAGCUAAAGGAAGAGAUGGAGGCCACAGCCAAGGUGGUGCGCUUCAUCUCAAACCGCUUUGUGUGCCUGAUCUGUGGCUGGAAGACCAAACUGAAAGAAAACACAGACGAGCAUAAAUCGUUACUGAUUUAUUCCAGAGGGACCUCUCUCUCUCCCCCCCCCCUCCUCCACCUCCUCCUCCUCCUCCUCCUCCACCUCGCUGGCCGCAUGCGACCCGAGAGGAACGAGAACACCGAACGAGGACUUUUGCUGCUUCACGUGUCUCUGCGCAACGUAGAAUGCUUCGCCAUCAGCCACGUGGUGCGCUGCCACGACGUGGAGCGGCCCUACGCCUGCCGCCGCUGCUCACGCCGCUUCUUCCUGCCCAGCCGGCUGCAGCAGCACGUCAGGGCGGAGCACCGGCCCGGCCGCUACGCCUGCCCCUUCUGCUGCUUCAGGUCACACUUCCUGGGGGGGUUCAGGAGGCACUGCAGCCGCUGCAACGCCAGAGAGGAGGAGGACGGGUGGAGAGGGGGGGGCGGAGGGCGGCUGGAGGGGGGGGAGGAGAACGAAGAGGAGGAGGAGGAGGAAGAAGAGAGAAAGGAGAGGAGAGGGUUGAGGAAGAGGAAGAGUGAGAUGGAGGAGAAGGAAGAGGAUGAUAACUAA
ensembl:lncRNA